AACGCGAAGAACCUUACCUACUCUUGACAUCCAGAGAAUUUAGCAGAGAUGCUUUAGUGCCUUCGGGAACUUUGAGACAGGUGCUGCAUGGCCGUCGUCAGCUCGUGUUGUGAAAUGUUGGGUUAAGUCCCGCAACGAGCGCAACCCUUAUCCUUUGUUGCCAGCACGUAAUGGUGGGAACUCAAAGGAGACUGCCGGUGAUAAACCGGAGGAAGGUGGGGAUGACGUCAAGUCAUCAUGGCCCUUACGAGUAGGGCUACACACGUGCUACAAUGGCGCAUACAAAGAGAAGCGACCUCGCGAGAGCAAGCGGACCUCAUAAAGUGCGUCGUAGUCCGGAUUGGAGUCUGCAACUCGACUCCAUGAAGUCGGAAUCGCUAGUAAUCGUCU
rnacentral:rRNA from 1 species